rnacentral:rRNA from 1 species
CAGUCGACGGCAGCGCGGGGCAACCUGGCGGCGAGUGGCGAACGGGUGAGUAAUAUAUCGGAACGUGCCCUGGAGUGGGGGAUAACGCAGCGAAAGUUGCGCUAAUACCGCAUACGAUCUAAGGAUGAAAGCAGGGGAUUCCAAGGACUUGUGCGCUCGGGGCGGCCCAUAUCUGAUUAUCUAUUUGGUGGGGUAAAAGCCUACCCCGGGGUCUCUCUCUAUCUGGGCUGAGAGGAGAACCCCCCCCACUGUGACUGAGACACGGUCCCCACUCCCCCAGGAGGCGCCACUGGGGAAUUUUGGACAAUGGGCGCAAGCCUGAUCCCCCAAUGCGCCGUGAGUGAAAAAAGCCUUCUGGUUGUAAAGCUCUUUUGUCUCGGAAAAAACGCUGAGGGCUAAUAUCCCUUGCGAAUGACAGUACCUGAGAAAAAAACACCGGCUAAAUACACGCCACCACCCCCGGUAAUACACAUGGGGCGAGCGUUAAUCUCAAUUACUGGGCGUAAAGCGUGCGCACGCGGUUUUGUAAGUUUGUCUCGAAAUCCCCCGGCUCUCCCUGUGAAUGUGGAUAUAAACUGCGAGGCUAUAAUCUGGGGGAGAGGGGUAGAAAUCCCCGUGUAGCAGUGAAAUGCGU